GACUGUGGACCUCUGUGUGGAAUCAAAUCCUGAGUACUCCUUGUCUUUGAUUUGAACGACUAGCACUUGGCGAAAUAAUGGAAAGGUCUCUCUUAAAUGACAACCCCUGAAGUCCAGAUUAUCUAUUGUCAGCCAGACAUUCGUCAAGUCUGCCUCUUCUCUGUUUUCCACAUGGCCCUUCCUUGUCUGGCUUUGGAAAGAAGAUGCUUUAUACCAGAGAAAGACUGACCUUCACUACUGAGAUAAAGAGGAUCCUGUUGGGGAAGCCCUUUCUGCAGAUCCUGAUGCCUUCCAGCACACCAUUACAGCGCAGCUGGUGCAUCACCAGAGGGUUCUCCAUGGCCCCAGGAGUCUUGGUCUCAUUGGGGAUGAUGCAGCGUACAAAGUGAGGGUGAGUAGACCUCAAGUUGGUCAUCAGCUUGUUCAGGUUCU